rnacentral:tRNA from 1 species
AUUGGUUCCAAUUGUGUUAGGACUUUAACAUGAUCCUUUGAGAGCGGGUGGUCCUCUCCUCCACCGCCACCCCCAGGCUUUAGUGUUUUUUACAUUGCAAAGGUUUAGGUUGUCUUUUGUAACAGGAUGGAAAAAUUCAUGAGAGGUAACAAGCUUGUUGCCUCAGUCAUGAGACAAUGAGCUAACCCAAACUGAGUAUUAGAUUUAGGGCAGAAAAGAUGGCGCUCCCAUACACCUUAUUUCCAUCCUUUCUUUCCUAAAUAAUGCUUAAGGAAACCAUGCUAGGGUUAACACGGGAGGAGAGGAGGAACAACCAAGGUGAAUCCGCACUAGGCAGAGAGAAGAGAGUGCCUGCCUUCCGAAAAAAGGCUCCUUCACUGCGCGUGCGCCCGCUUCACGGCGGACACAGGCGCCUGUAAUAAUGUUCAUUGCUUACGUAGUAAACGUGCGUCAGCGGGCCGGACCCAGGACGCAUGCGCAGAAGCGCAGUGCCCAAAUGAUUCUGCAAGGCACUGACUUCUUAUGUGAACGGGAGUCAGAAAAACCAGAGAGCUCCAAACUAAGCUUCUGCACGGACAGAGCACGGGAGAAAAUGGAACUACAAUUGGAGGGGCUGCCGAGUUCAACCACUACAGAAGAUAACACUUUGAGGCGAUCCAGCAGCGCCCCUUUGAUCAGUGGCCUUGGUUCAUCAGGAUCCAGGACCCGAAAGCAACAAUUAUUUGGUGUGGAGCACGGCUUUCUCUAACUUCACCCCAUCUCUCACCCACACCAUUGAAGAAAUUGUGUACUCCCCACCCUCGCCUCCAGAUCUGUAAUGACUGUAAUUUUUGUCAUUCUCUCAUCUACUUUGUCACCUCUGACCUUCACCUUAGCACACUCAGAGUGGGAAUGGUUGGCAAGUAAAUAAGCUUGGGCCUUUUUUACACCUAGUUUUUAUUUGAACAAAAAGUUUAGCUAUCACAGAAAAUUGAUCUCCUACUUUUGUAUUCUCAGUAACCUACGUUGGCCCUACUUAGUUCUUGGCAGGUGAAAGUUUUUUUCUCAUAUGCAUAAAACAGAUAUGUAUAUAUGGCACAUAGAUACGCAGUAUAUUUGUGUUAUUAAAAUUGUGCGGGAAUUCUCGAGGAGCUAAUGAGGGAGGAAAUGUCUAAAAAGACUCUAGAGAUCUGAUGAUGAAAAAAGGUUUAAAAGAUUAACUGAUGGUUAACUGUAUUUCUUGCAUAUAUCCAAAGAUCUGGCCUGACUCAACCUUAUUUCUUAAAAUAGAAUUUUAAAGUGAGAUCUUGGAUUUCACAUCCCAGUAUUAUAAGUUUUUCUCAAUAUUGUAAAAAUGUCUGAAAAAUGCCUUCACUGCAUACAUUUUAUUAAGUUUGCACCUCACCUUUUGCUGGCAUCAUCCUACUUGAUAGCUGUAAUUCACAACUGUUAGAUGAGAACUCAGGAGACCAGAUCCACCCUCCUUGUUUAAUGUAUGGGCUAACAGGUCCAUCAGUCUCCAAGAUGUCAUAGUCAGUAAUCGAUCAGUACUAGGAAGCUGUGGCUCCAGACUCCUAAGCUAGUGCUUUGUCCACUGGCUCAGAGGGUAAAUCAUCUGCCUGCAGUGUGGGAGACCCGGGUUCGAUUCCUGGGUUGGGAAGAUCCCCUGGAGAAGGAAAUGGUAACCCACUCCAGUAUUCUUGCCUGGAGAAUCCCAUGGACAGAGCAACCUGGUAGGCUACAGUCCACGGGGUCACAAAGAGUUGGACACGACUGAGCGACUUCACUUCACUUCAGUCAAUAUCUAAGCUGACUAAUUAAAUAAAUGCAGCUUUCUGGUCUUUUGAGUUAAGGGAGAGUAUGUUCUAACAAAAUGAAACACAAACUAAGAGUGACCUGAAAAUAAUACAUUACCUUUUAAAAUAGGCAGCUAGAAAAAUAAGGGGUGGAGACAGCUCUGCAUGUUGUACCGAGAAAAAGAACAUGCUAUAAAUUCAGGAUUCUACUCUAAAUCCUGUUGUGUGAAUAAAUGAAUUGUUAUGGGUGCACUCUGCUAGUAGAAGAAAAUACUUGAGAAUGUUCAUUUUAUUGAAAAGCUCUAUGAAAUGAAGAAACAAGUCACAAAUAUGUAGAUGAUGGAGAAUAUAUAUUUGCAGGAACAUGUGGAUUCUAUUUAAUAUAUUAAGUGCUGGGGUGGGGGGUGAGGGGCAGCUGACCAGGUCCCUUGUCCCAAUCCUCAAAGUCCUGGAAAUAAAGAGAGUGAUCACAGUUAUCCCUUCAUACUUUACUUUGUUCUGCAAAAGAUUGGAAAUGUGUAUUAUAUUAGAGCAUGGUUACAGUGUAGAACUCCAUAGCUUAAGAUCUGAUGCUGGACAUGAAUUUUUGUACAGAAUGGUGAAGGGCAGUUGCAUAUUUCUCUAGUAGGAAUUAAACCGAAAGAUAGACCAAGUCCAGGGACUCUUGUCUAUCAAGAAGAAGUAGCAUAGGAAUGAUAGAUGACAUGCCUGAGGUCAAGGAACUGGUCCAAGUGAUCUGAGGGCAUAUUUUGUGCUAUUGUGACAAGCUUAGCGUGUAAUCAACAAGAAAAAUUUAGAGCAGAAUUACAGGGAGCCUUAGUUGCAUUCCCUGGUGGCUCAGAUGGUAAAGCGUCUGCCUGCAGUGCAGGAGACCCGGGUUCGAUCCCUGGUUUGGGAAGAGCCCCUGGAGAAGGAAAUGGCAACCCACUCCAGUACUCUUGCCUGGAAAAUUCCAUGGACUGAGGAGCCUGGUGGGUUACAGUCCAUGGGGUCGCAAAGAGUCAGACAUGACUGAGCGACUUCUCUUCACUUUAGUUGCAUUCAUUUUCUUGCAGAUUCUUUUCAGUGGAGUAUGUCCACUGCUCACUGCACUUUCUUUUACUUGGCCUCUCAUACUCAUUGCCUUGCCUCUUUCACAGCUCACUAAAUAUUGUUGCACUUCUUUGAAGCAGUUUUCCAAUUUUGUUUGAUGUUUCCUAUGUAUAAAGACUUGUCUCCCUUGCACCAGCAUUUGCAGAAUUUGUUGUGUAAAUGUCAACUCUUUAAUACAAACAUCACUAUUUCUUAAGUUCCUGUACAUUUUUGUAUUCAUCUUGUAUUAAUAAAAAUAUCAAUGUCA